rnacentral:rRNA from 1 species
UACAGAGGUCCCAAGCGUUGUUCGGAUUCACUGGGCGUAAAGGGUGCGUAAGGCGGUCGGGUAAGUCUGAUGUGAAAAUCUCACAAGCUUAACUGGUGAAACUGCAUUGAUACUAUCCGGCUACGAGGAAUGGAGGGGAGACUGGAAUGACUUGGGUGUAGACAGUGAAAUGCGUAAGAUAUCAAGUGGAACACCAGUGGCGA